AGCGUACACGGUGGAUGCCCUGGCAGUCAGAGGCGAUGAAGGACGUGCUAAUCUGCGAUAAGCGUCGGUGAGGUGAUAUGAACCGUUAUAACCGGCGAUUUCCGAAUGGGGAAACCCAGUGUGUUUCGACACACUAUCAUUAACUGAAUCCAUAGGUUAAUGAGGCGAACCGGGGGAACUGAAACAUCUAAGUACCCCGAGGAAAAGAAAUCAACCGAGAUUCCCCCAGUAGCGGCGAGCGAACGGGGAGCAGCCCAGAGCCUGAAUCAGUGUGUGUGUUAGUGGAAGCGUCUGGAAAGGCGCGCGAUACAGGGUGACAGCCCCGUACACAAAAAUGCACAUGCUGUGAGCUCGAUGAGUAGGGCGGGACACGUGGUAUCCUGUCUGAAUAUGGGGGGACCAUCCUCCAAGGCUAAAUACUCCUGACUGACCGAUAGUGAACCAGUACCGUGAGGGAAAGGCGAAAAGAACCCCGGCGAGGGGAGUGAAAAAGAACCUGAAACCGUGUACGUACAAGCAGUGGGAGCCUCUUUAUGGGGUGACUGCGUACCUUUUGUAUAAUGGGUCAGCGACUUAUAUUCUGUAGCAAGGUUAACCGAAUAGGGGAGCCGAAGGGAAACCGAGUCUUAACUGGGCGUUAAGUUGCAGGGUAUAGACCCGAAACCCGGUGAUCUAGCCAUGGGCAGGUUGAAGGUUGGGUAACACUAACUGGAGGACCGAACCGACUAAUGUUGAAAAAUUAGCGGAUGACUUGUGGCUGGGGGUGAAAGGCCAAUCAAACCGGGAGAUAGCUGGUUCUCCCCGAAAGCUAUUUAGGUAGCGCCUCGUGAAUUCAUCUCCGGGGGUAGAGCACUGUUUCGGCAAGGGGGUCAUCCCGACUUACCAACCCGAUGCAAACUGCGAAUACCGGAGAAUGUUAUCACGGGAGACACACGGCGGGUGCUAACGUCCGUCGUGAAGAGGGAAACAACCCAGACCGCCAGCUAAGGUCCCAAAGUCAUGGUUAAGUGGGAAACGAUGUGGGAAGGCCCAGACAGCCAGGAUGUUGGCUUAGAAGCAGCCAUCAUUUAAAGAAAGCGUAAUAGCUCACUGGUCGAGUCGGCCUGCGCGGAAGAUGUAACGGGGCUAAACCAUGCACCGAAGCUGCGGCAGCGACGCUUAUGCGUUGUUGGGUAGGGGAGCGUUCUGUAAGCCUGCGAAGGUGUGCUGUGAGGUAUGCUGGAGGUAUCAGAAGUGCGAAUGCUGACAUAAGUAACGAUAAAGCGGGUGAAAAGCCCGCUCGCCGGAAGACCAAGGGUUCCUGUCCAACGUUAAUCGGGGCAGGGUGAGUCGACCCCUAAGGCGAGGCCGAAAGGCGUAGUCGAUGGGAAACAGGUUAAUAUUCCUGUACUUGGUGUUACUGCGAAGGGGGGACGGAGAAGGCUAUGUUGGCCGGGCGACGGUUGUCCCGGUUUAAGCGUGUAGGCUGGUUUUCCAGGCAAAUCCGGAAAAUCAAGGCUGAGGCGUGAUGACGAGGCACUACGGUGCUGAAGCAACAAAUGCCCUGCUUCCAGGAAAAGCCUCUAAGCAUCAGGUAACAUCAAAUCGUACCCCAAACCGACACAGGUGGUCAGGUAGAGAAUACCAAGGCGCUUGAGAGAACUCGGGUGAAGGAACUAGGCAAAAUGGUGCCGUAACUUCGGGAGAAGGCACGCUGAUAUGUAGGUGAAGCGACUUGCUCGUGGAGCUGAAAUCAGUCGAAGAUACCAGCUGGCUGCAACUGUUUAUUAAAAACACAGCACUGUGCAAACACGAAAGUGGACGUAUACGGUGUGACGCCUGCCCGGUGCCGGAAGGUUAAUUGAUGGGGUUAGCGGUAACGCGAAGCUCUUGAUCGAAGCCCCGGUAAACGGCGGCCGUAACUAUAACGGUCCUAAGGUAGCGAAAUUCCUUGUCGGGUAAGUUCCGACCUGCACGAAUGGCGUAAUGAUGGCCAGGCUGUCUCCACCCGAGACUCAGUGAAAUUGAACUCGCUGUGAAGAUGCAGUGUACCCGCGGCAAGACGGAAAGACCCCGUGAACCUUUACUAUAGCUUGACACUGAACAUUGAGCCUUGAUGUGUAGGAUAGGUGGGAGGCUUUGAAGUGUGGACGCCAGUCUGCAUGGAGCCGGCCUUGAAAUACCACCCUUUAAUGUUUGAUGUUCUAACGUUGGCCCCUGAUCGGGGUUGCGGACAGUGUCUGGUGGGUAGUUUGACUGGGGCGGUCUCCUCCUAAAGAGUAACGGAGGAGCACGAAGGUUGGCUAAUCCUGGUCGGACAUCAGGAGGUUAGUGCAAUGGCAUAAGCCAGCUUGACUGCGAGCGUGACGGCGCGAGCAGGUGCGAAAGCAGGUCAUAGUGAUCCGGUGGUUCUGAAUGGAAGGGCCAUCGCUCAACGGAUAAAAGGUACUCCGGGGAUAACAGGCUGAUACCGCCCAAGAGUUCAUAUCGACGGCGGUGUUUGGCACCUCGAUGUCGGCUCAUCACAUCCUGGGGCUGAAGUAGGUCCCAAGGGUAUGGCUGUUCGCCAUUUAAAGUGGUACGCGAGCUGGGUUUAGAACGUCGUGAGACAGUUCGGUCCCUAUCUGCCGUGGGCGCUGGAGAACUGAGGGGGGCUGCUCCUAGUACGAGAGGACCGGAGUGGACGCAUCACUGGUGUUCGGGUUGUCAUGCCAAUGGCACUGCCCGGUAGCUAAAUGCGGAAGAGAUAAGUGCUGAAAGCAUCUAAGCACGAAACUUGCCCCGAGAUGAGUUCU
rnacentral:rRNA from 1 species